rnacentral:tRNA from 1 species
GCUCGCAUAGCUCAGCCGGUAGAGCACCACCAUGGUAAGGUGGGGGUCGCCAGUUCAAUUCUGGCUGCGAGCUCCA